ensembl:lncRNA WWC3-AS1 WWC3 antisense RNA 1
UUUUUUUUUUCUUUUUUCAAAAUUUCCCUUUGAACAUAGGAUUCUCUUUUUGAUGUCACCUGUUCAGUCAGGUCACCGGUUACCUUAACAACUGCUUUGCCAUGUAUUAGUUUUACGUUUGCUCCCUUUGGGGUGGGGAUGUAUUAUCAGAAUCACCUGAGUGGCUUGAGGGACAGGGGCUAUGUUUAAGAAAGCUUCCCAGGUGUGUUGUAAGAAGCCCCAAGGAAUGAAUCGCUGGUCCCAUUCUUGAGCCUGGUUGCUAAUGGAACCCACUGGGAGCACUUUUCAAAAAAGGAUGCCACUUGAAAUUCAUUUAUGUGCUGGGCGCGGUGGCUCACGCCUGUAAAUUUUAUAGUAUCUCAAUUUUUUAAAAAUGGAAAUAAUGUUUAAGGUAAAUCUAGUUGACCCCAUACUCCAAGGCCUCCCCCAUGCUGGGGACAGGCACCCGUCCACAGGACAGAGCUCUAAGUGGCAGAAAGAACAAGUCUCCUGCAGUGACUAUGUGGUCUCCUGGCCGAGCUCCGGGCCGCCUGGAAACACCAUACCCAAGCUGGUAGAUGCCCUCUUUCCUGGAGCAC